CCACCCAUGGCCGCCACCAUCGCCGCCGUGCUAAUCCGCCGCUCCACCUCCUCCCCGUACCGCCGCCUUCUCCUCCCCAUCUUCUCCCACCUCCAACGCCCCGCGCCCCAACCCACAUCCCCAUGGAUCCCACCCCACCACCGCUUCUUCUCCUCCGACGCGCCCGCCGACCCUAAUCAAAAGCUCCCUCCCCUGGACCCGAAGCAGCUAUGGCACGAGCUCUCCACCGCCGAGCCCGCGACCGGCUCGUCCCGCCUCCCAAAGGCCACGUGGGACGACGUGGUAGCCCUCACCCGCGACUUCGCCAAGAACCCCGCCAUGGCGGACCAGGCCCUGGCGCUCUACAUCCCAUCCUCCGCGUUCCCCACCUACGCGCGCCACUUCCGCCACUUCCUCCCGCCACGCCUCUCCCAGGAAUCCGCCGACCGGCUCCUCGUCCUCCCGGCCGAGGCCGCGCACGCGCUCCUCCUGCGGGCCUUCGCCGAGUACUGCGUCACCAACCACGCGGACGAGCUGAAGCAAAACAAGUCCGUCAUGGCCGCGGCCGACCUCACGGCGCCGCACACCUGGUACCCCUUCGCGCGCGCCAUGCGGCGGCGGGUGGUCUACCACUGCGGGCCCACCAACAGCGGCAAGACGCACAACGCGCUCGCCCGCUUCAGCGCCGCCAGGUCCGGCGUCUACUGCAGCCCGCUCCGGCUCCUCGCCAUGGAGGUCUUCGACAAGGUCAACGCGCUCGGCGUCUACUGCACCCUCCGCACCGGCCAGGAGGUCAAGGAGGUGCCCUUCGCCAACCACGUCACCUGCACCAUCGAGAUGCUCUCCACCGAGGAGCUCUACGAGGUCGCCGUGGUCGACGAGAUACAGAUGAUGGCUGAUCCAACCAGGGGCUACGCGUGGACGCGUGCUGUUCUCGGGCUCAAGGCGGAUGAGAUACAUCUCUGCGGUGACCCCAGCGUUCUCAAGAUUGUUCGCAAGGUUUGCGCAGACACCGGAGAUGACUUGGAGGUGCAUCAGUACGAGCGGUUCAAGCCACUUGUCGUCGAGGCAAAAUCUCUCCUGGGCGACCUCAAGAAUGUCCGUGCUGGUGACUGCAUUGUUGCCUUCUCCCGCAGAGAGAUAUUUGAGGUGAAGCUAGCAAUCGAGAAAUUCACCAAGCACAAGUGUUGUGUUAUAUAUGGAGCUUUGCCGCCAGAGACACGGCGCCAGCAAGCAAAGUUGUUCAACGAACAGGAUAACGAGUACGAUGUGCUUGUAGCGAGUGAUGCCGUUGGCAUGGGCCUCAACCUCAACAUUAGGAGAGUUGUGUUCUAUAGCCUGUCGAAAUACAAUGGGGACAGAAUGGUACCAGUUGCUGCUUCGCAGGUGAAACAGAUAGCUGGGCGUGCUGGCCGGAGGGGCAGUGUUUAUCCAGAUGGGCUCACCACCACUUUCUUGCUGGAUGAUUUGGAAUACUUAAUAGAGUGCCUGCAACAGCCGUUUGAGGAGGCAAAGAAAAUUGGCCUUUUCCCUUGCUUUGAGCAAGUGGAAAUGUUCGCCAGUCAGUUCCCUGAUCUUACUUUCACUGAGUUGCUGGAUAAGUUCCGUGAUAAUUGCCGCAUCGACAAGACAUACUUCAUGUGCCAGCAGGAUAGUAUCAAGAAGGUUGCUAAUAUGCUUGAGAGGGUCCAGGGGCUCUCCCUCAAGGAUCGCUACAGUUUUUGUUUUGCGCCAGUUAAUAUAAGGGAUCCAAAAGCCAUGUACCAUCUUCUCAGAUUUGCUACUCAUUAUAGCAAGAGCCGCCGUGUUAGCAUCGCGAUGGGAAUGCCCAGAGGUUCUGCAACGAAUGACACUGAACUUCUGGACCUCGAGACCAAGCACCAGGUCCUGUCUAUGUAUUUGUGGCUCUCACACCAUUUCGAGGAAGAUAACUUUCCUCAUGCGCAGAAAGCUGAGGAAAUGGCAGUAAAUAUUGCUGAUUUGCUUGGCAAGUCACUUGCCAAGGCAUCCUGGAAGCCUGAAUCAAGACAACAAACAAGGCAGAGACGAGAAGAGAACGAGGAGAGUGACAGCAAUGUGGAAAAUAUGUCAGAUGAUGAUGCAAAGACUGUUUCCAAAGUUGGUUAUGAAAGGCCGAGGUCACUUCCCAAAAGAAAUUCAAGGUCAGAAGAAACAUGAGAUAACCCUAUGCUAUAAUUGCAUACAACCGCUGGCAAGUGGGUUUCUGAACUGUAGGAAAAGACAUGAUCGACCCAGCCAGAAUUCCUCUUCCUUGAACCUUGUGGCAUGAGUGUGGGGUUGGCUACCCAAUCGAGUACUGGAGAAGAAACUGUUGAGCCAAGUAGCGAUACCUCUUCAAUCCUAAAUCUGGUGCUUACCCAUGGCACAGCUAUUCUUCGAGUUUUGGCGCAGGCAGCUAUGUUGUGCUACUAGUCCUAAACUUGACCCAAAAUCGGCACCCCACAGCUUCUGCAUCAACUGACCAUUAUUUUAUUGGCACCACAAGAGAUAGCUGGUGAGUAAUACUGUUGUGCAAUGCUAGAUUGCAUGCUGAAUGAGGAUCUUUAGUUAUCAGACUCAAACUAGAAUUUUCUGUGACACGCUGCACCUGAAUGUGGGUAAUAAGCAACUAUGUAGUUUACAUGGUUUUAAUUGAUCGUUCUCUAAGAUGUCUUAGAUGAUUAAGUGUGAUCUUUACACUCGACUGUGUAAUACGGAGUAUUAUAGAGGGUAGCAGAAAUGCAUUAAUUUCAUUUUCUCAA